rnacentral:tRNA from 1 species
AAGGGUAUAGCUUAGGGGUAAAGUGCAUGCCUAGCAUACAUAAGGUCCUGGGUUCAAUCCCUGGUACCUCAA